UACAUCGACAAUAAACCUGAUAUUCAGUGGGGGAUGAAUAAUUUUGAUUACAACUGUAUAUAGUUGCUUGGACCAACUGAAUCAAUAUGCCUUUUAAAAAAAUAUUUAAUUAUACUUUGCAACAAUGAAAUGAGUUUUCUAACCGGCAGUUGAUUUUACAAAAUAUAAGUAAAUGUAAUUGAAAUACUCAAACCUUUGUAGACACAGGGCUGUGGAAGGUAGCAAUAGCAU